GACGAACGCUGGCGGCGUGCUUAACACAUGCCAGUCGAACGGUGACGGAGGAGCUUGCUCCUCCUGAUCAGUGGCGAACGGGUGAGUAACACGUGAGCAAUCUGCCCCUGACUCUGGGAUAACUGCGGGAAACUGUAGCUAAUACCGGAUACGACGCGCGAAGGCAUCUUCUGCGCGUGGAAAGAAUUUCGAUCAGGGAUGAGCUCGCGGCCUAUCAGCUUGUUGGUGAGGUAAUGGCUCACCAAGGCGACGACGGGUAGCCGGCCUGAGAGGGUGACCGGCCACACUGGGACUGAGACACGGCCCAGACUCCUACGGGAGGCAGCAGUGGGGAAUAUUGCACAAUGGGCGCAAGCCUGAUGCAGCAACGCCGCGUGAGGGACGACGGCCUUCGGGUUGUAAACCUCUUUUGGCAGGGAAGAAGCGAAAGUGACGGUACCUGCAGAAAAAGCACCGGCUAACUACGUG
rnacentral:rRNA from 1 species